UACGAGGGGGGCGAGCGUUGUUCGGAAUUAUUGGGCGUAAAGGGUGCGUAGCGGUUUGGUAAGUCUCGUGUGAAAUCUACAGGCUCAACUUGUAGUCUGCACGAGAAACCGCCGGGCUUGAGUAUGGGGAGAGGUGAGUGGAAUUCCCGGUGUAGCGGUGAAAAUUCGUAGAUAUCAGGAGGAACACCGGUGGCGAAAGCGGCUCUCUGGCCCGAUACUGACGCUCAUGUACGAAAGCGUGGGGAGCAAACAGG
rnacentral:rRNA from 1 species